CCACUGAAUUUCAAUAUUCCGAUCAUUCCUACCUUUGUAAAUUGUAACUAAAAACUCAUGGAGACUCUGAGAGUACAAUUAUUGGCUGAAAAAGGUGAGAUCUCAGUACCAUCACAGUACGUACAACCACCGGAAACCAGACCACAAAUAGAAAAAACUAACGUCAAAGCAGCUGUACCAGUAAUCGAUCUCAGUUCACGAACGAACCUUCUCGAUGAACUGAGGAAAGCGUGCAAAGAAUGGGGAGCAUUUCAAGUGAUAAACCAUAAGGUUCCGAUUAGUUUGUUGGAUGAUAUGAGGCGUGUUGGUCGCACUUUUUUUGAAGGUCGCACAAUGGAAGAGAAGCUUAAGUAUUCUUGCGAUUCUGCUUCUCCUGCUUCUGAAGGAUAUGGCAGUCGCAUGCUUGUAGCAUCAAAUGACACGGUUUUGGAUUGGAGAGAUUAUUUCGAUCACCACACUUUGCCUUCAUCACGUCGCAAUCCUUCUCAUUGGCCCGAGUCUCCGGCCGAUUACAGAAAAGUUGUGGCAGAAUACAGCGAUCACAUGAAAGCUCUCGCACAGGAACUUCUUGGUUUAGUCUCUGAGAGUCUAGACUUGACAUGUCAGUGCAUAGAAAAUGUUGUUGGGGAGUUUUACCAAAAUAUCACUAUUAGUUACUAUCCACCCUGCCCUCAACCAGAGCUUACUCUUGGACUGCAAUCACAUUCUGACUUUGGUGCUAUUACACUUCUCAUCCAAGAUGACGUGGGGGGUCUUGAGGUUUUCAAUAAUGGAGAAUGGGUUUCUGUAAAUCCAAUGUCAAAUGCUAUCUGUGUGAUCUUAGCAGACCAAACUGAGGUGCUGCAAGAAUCGAUGAAGGAGCUACAGGCAAACAACAAGUGUAUGCUCUCUUCUAUUUGUCAUGUGCGGUCAUUGCUGCAGGAGGAGAUGCGAUUGGACUCCACUUUCACCGAUACUCCAGAGAUUUUAGAUGAUAAAACUAUCACCUCUGUGCUAGAGUCAACUUGCGAUGAUAAUGACACCGAGAUUGCUGAUACCGUGAAAUCACAUUUGGAUUCUCAACUUCCCAUUCUUGAUGUUGGAUAUACAAUACAAAAGACCAUUUCUCCCUCUGUUCUGUUCAGUGCUUCUAUUGACACUACCGAGCUUGAAUUUUCUAGUUUGUCCUUCUCAGUUAAGGAACUGACACGGACAUAAGCUUGACAUGGAGUUUGACUGCAAGGUGUUCGAUAUAAUGCGGAAGAGAGAUAUUUUUGCAGAAUUUCUUUGCCCUCAUACAGCUAUUGGUUCGCUUGGUUUACACAUUUGCGAUUGGUUUGAUACUGGGCGGGAUAUUGGGGCUUGCUUUGAUAAGAUGUAGGUGAAGUAUCCUCACUUACCAUUGCACACAAGGUGUUUGUUGAUAUGUUGGACAGAUCAUAACUAAUGGCGAGUACAAAAGUGCUCAACACCGGGCAGUGACGAAUGCUGGAAGAUCCAGACUCUCAGUUGCCACGUUCCAUGACCCUUCCAAGACCAGGCAAAUUUCUCCAGCCUUCCAUCCGCCUAGAUA